UUUUGAUUGCUGCUCAGAAAGUCUUUCAAAACAAAUGACAUUUGAGCUUCAAUCAAACAU
rnacentral:pre_miRNA from 1 species